rnacentral:rRNA from 1 species
GACGUACUGCGCGAACGUUAUUCGGAAUCACUGGGCUUAAAGGGUGCGCAGGCGGCUUCUCAAGCCCGGGGUGAAAGGCCCCGGCCCAACCGGGGACGGUCUUCGGGGACUGAGAGGCUCGGGCGAGCUAGGGGUCCGUGGAAUUCCCGGUGUAGCGGUGAAAUGCGCAGAUAUCGGGAGGAACACCUAUGGCGAAGGCAGCUUGCUGGGACGGUACUGACGCUGAGACGCGAAAGCGUGGGGAGCAAACAGG